UACGUAGGUGGCAAGCGUUGUCCGGAAUUAUUGGGCGUAAAGCGCGCGCAGGCGGUCCUUUAAGUCUGAUGUGAAAGCCCACGGCUCAACCGUGGAGGGUCAUUGGAAACUGGGGGGACUUGAGUGCAGGAGAGAAGAGUGGAAUUCCACGUGUAGCGGUGAAAUGCGUAGAGAUGUGGAGGAACACCAGUGGCGAAGGCGACUCUUUGGCCUGUAACUGACGCUGAGGCGCGAAAGCUAGGGGAGCAAACGGG
rnacentral:rRNA from 1 species